rnacentral:misc_RNA from 1 species
UCCGGUUUGUCACCGGCAGUCAACCUAGAGUGCCCGACUUUACUCGCUGGCAACUAAGUUCAAGGGUUGCGCUCGUUGCGGGACUUAACCCAACAUCUCACGACACGAGCUGACGACAACCAUGCACCACCUGUCUCCUCUGUCCCGAAGGAAAGGCACAUCUCUGCGCCGGUCAGAGGGAUGUCAAGACCUGGUAAGGUUCUUCGCGUUGCUUCGAAUUAAACCACAUACUCCACUGCUUGUGCGGGUCCCCGUCAAUUCCUUUGAGUUUCAGUCUUGCGACCGUACUCCCCAGGCGGAGUGCUUAAUGUGUUAACUUCGGCACCGAGGGGUGGACCCCCCCAACACCUAGCACUCAUCGUUUACGGCGUGGACUAC